rnacentral:tRNA from 1 species
GGGUACAUGGUCUAGUGGUAUGAUUUUCGCUUCGCAUGUGAAAGGUCCCCGGUUCGAUCCCGGGUGUAUCCA